AGUGAACGCUGGCGGUAGGCCUAACACAUGCAAGUCGAACGGCAGCACAGUAAGAGCUUGCUCUUACGGGUGGCGAGUGGCGGACGGGUGAGGAAUACAUCGGAAUCUACUUUUUCGUGGGGGAUAACGUAGGGAAACUUACGCUAAUACCGCAUACGACCUACGGGUGAAAGCAGGGGAUCUUCGGACCUUGCGCGAUUGAAUGAGCCGAUGUCGGAUUAGCUAGUUGGCGGGGUAAAGGCCCACCAAGGCGACGAUCCGUAGCUGGUCUGAGAGGAUGAUCAGCCACACUGGAACUUAGACACGGUCCAGACUCCUACGGGAGGCAGCAGUGGGGAAUAUUAGACAAUGGGCGCAAGCCUGAUCCAGCCAUACCGCGUGGGUGAAGAAGGCCUUCGGGUUGUAAAGCCCUUUUGUUGGGAAAGAAAAGCAGCAGGUUAAUACCCCGCUGUUCUGACGGUACCCAAAGAAUAAGCACCGGCUAACUUCGUG
rnacentral:rRNA from 1 species